CACGUAGGGCGCGAGCGUUGUCCGGAAUUAUUGGGCGUAAAGAGCUCGUAGGCGGCCUGUUGCGUCCGCUGUGAAAGCCCGGGGCUUAACCCCGGGUCGGCAGUGGAUACGGGCAGGCUAGAGGUAGGUAGGGGAGAAUGGAAUUCCCGGUGUAGCGGUGAAAUGCGCAGAUAUCGGAAGGAACACCGGUGGCGAAGGCGGUUCUCUGGGCCUUACCUGACGCUGAGGAGCGAAAGCGUGGGGAGCGAACAGG
rnacentral:rRNA from 1 species